rnacentral:rRNA from 1 species
GGCCUAACACAUGCAAGUCGAGCGGUAGCACAGAGAGCUUGCUCUCGGGUGACGAGCGGCGGACGGGUGAGUAAUGUCUGGGAAACUGCCUGAUGGAGGGGGAUAACUACUGGAAACGGUAGCUAAUACCGCAUAACGUCGCAAGACCAAAGUGGGGGACCUUCGGGCCUCAUGCCAUCAGAUGUGCCCAGAUGGGAUUAGCUAGUAGGUGGGGUAACGGCUCACCUAGGCGACGAUCCCUAGCUGGUCUGAGAGGAUGACCAGCCACACUGGAACUGAGACACGGUCCAGACUCCUACGGGAGGCAGCAGUGGGGAAUAUUGCACAAUGGGCGCAAGCCUGAUGCAGCCAUGCCGCGUGUGUGAAGAAGGCCUUCGGGUUGUAAAGCACUUUCAGCGGGGAGGAAGGCGAUAAGGUUAAUAACCUUGUCGAUUGACGUUACCCGCAGAAGAAGCACCGGCUAACUCCGUGCCAGCAGCCGCGGUAAUACGGAGGGUGCAAGCGUUAAUCGGAAUUACUGGGCGUAAAGCGCACGCAGGCGGUCUGUCAAGUCGGAUGUGAAAUCCCCGGGCUCAACCUGGGAACUGCAUUCGAAACUGGCAGGCUAGAGUCUUGUAGAGGGGGGUAGAAUUCCAGGUGUAGCGGUGAAAUGCGUAGAGAUCUGGAGGAAUACCGGUGGCGAAGGCGGCCCCCUGGACAAAGACUGACGCUCAGGUGCGAAAGCGUGGGGAGCAAACAGGAUUAGAUACCCUGGUAGUCCACGCCGUAAACGAUGUCGAUUUGGAGGUUGUGCCCUUGAGGCGUGGCUUCCGGAGCUAACGCGUUAAAUCGACCGCCUGGGGAGUACGGCCGCAAGGUUAAAACUCAAAUGAAUUGACGGGGGCCCGCACAAGCGGUGGAGCAUGUGGUUUAAUUCGAUGCAACGCGAAGAACCUUACCUGGUCUUGACAUCCACAGAACUUUCCAGAGAUGGAUUGGUGCCUUCGGGAACUGUGAGACAGGUGCUGCAUGGCUGUCGUCAGCUCGUGUUGUGAAAUGUUGGGUUAAGUCCCGCAACGAGCGCAACCCUUAUCCUUUGUUGCCAGCGGUUAGGCCGGGAACUCAAAGGAGACUGCCAGUGAUAAACUGGAGGAAGGUGGGGAUGACGUCAAGUCAUCAUGGCCCUUACGACCAGGGCUACACACGUGCUACAAUGGCAUAUACAAAGAGAAGCGACCUCGCGAGAGCAAGCGGACCUCAUAAAGUAUGUCGUAGUCCGGAUUGGAGUCUGCAACUCGACUCCAUGAAGUCGGAAUCGCUAGUAAUCGUAGAUCAGAAUGCUACGGUGAAUACGUUCCCGGGCCUUGUACACACCGCCCGUCACACCAUGGGAGUGGGUUGCAA